rnacentral:tRNA from 1 species
UGCAUCGGCCGGGAAUCGAACCCGGGCCAUCCGCGUGGCACGCGAGCAUUCUACCACUGAACCACCGAUGG